rnacentral:sRNA from 1 species
AUUAGAAAAUACAAAGCCAAAGACUCAUACAGACUUCGGCUACACUAUCAAAGCUUUGAGAAGCAAUAAGAAGCUUGGUUACUGUUUUGGAGUCAAAUAUGACUAGAUGUCAUGUGUAUGAUUAAGUAUAAGAAGUAGAACCGCAAUCGGUUCCCAAAAGCUAAAGUAGUGUUUCCUUUUUAGAAGAUACAAAGGCAAAGACUCAUACGGACAUCGGCUAAACCAUCAAACCUUUGAGAAACAAUAAGAAGGUUUGUUAGUGUUUUGGAGUCAAAUAUGACUAGAUGUCAUGUUUAUGAUAGAGUAUAAGAACUAGAACCGCAACCGGUCCUACAAGUUAAAGUA